ACAGGGCAGUCCCGGCGCGCGGCCGUGGGUGUGUUCUGCGGCGUCCUUGUCCGCUGAGGGCGUCCCUUCCGUCGGGCGCGGACUUCAGGCCGUACCCGGGCACGGGCUCUGACGCGCAGUCGCCUGUCUGGUGGCCGCGCGCACGUCAGCCCCGGCCUCGGCGGCCCCUGGCGACGGGUUGGACGCAGCCCGCGGGCGCGGUGGGCAGUGGACGCCGCUGCUCGUCGCCAGUGCUGCGGUAACCUCGGGCGGGGCCCUGGGCGCGCUGAGCCCGGCGGCGGAGCAGGCGGCUCGGGGGUGCAGGCCGCACCCACCGGGUGCCGGCGGCUCGCAGAGCGGAGGCCCGGGUGCGCGGAGAAGCGGGACCGGCCUGGUCGGCUCCGCCGUCGGUCGCGCCUCCCUGCCCCCAUCCUGCCCCGUCCGGGGACUCCUGGACGGACGAGCCCACUCCUCCGACUGCGGGGACCGCGGGGAGACCCGGGGCAGGAUCGAUGGGCAGAACCCGGUCCCCCAGCCCCGUAGCCAAGGGGACUCGAGAAUGGAACGCGACCUGCCACCAAUCUGUACUCUGCUGUCUCUGCUGGCUCUUGUCCACGAUCGCGGGGCCAAGAUAGACCGGAAACUCAUGUAGUUCUGGGCUCUUAUCUGUGGAAAUUCCCAAGCCCUGGGGUGAGUCACAGAUCUCCAUCUCUCUGGGGCUGGUUGCUCGAAAGUUCUCGCGAUCCUUUGGCGGCAUCAUGUUUCUUUGAUAUUGUGUGUUCCUUGAAGUCCCAGCGCUGCUGUGUUCCCACUGAAGUUGCCAUCCCCUCCGCCGGACCUCACUGCCUUUGGGAGACGGAUACCUUCCCUCAGCCCUGCCAGGGAUUCCGGGGCAGCUGCAGACCUUCCGUCCAUGGGCCUUGUCCUCAUUUCUUGCUCCCUCUUGUGGCUGAUUUCUAAGCUCCUGUGCCCUCUCUCCACCCCACAAUGAACCAGGUGGAGUGCUGACCUCCUGCCUUUUGUUUCCCAAAGGUGGUGCCAAAAAGAAAGCUCAAGUUCACGGUCUCUCCCUGACGGUGGAUUUGGGCCCAUCAUCUGCGCGUGCUCACUAGCUGGUUGCCGAGACUCACCCUCACUGCCAGGGAGCUGGUCGCAGUGUGGGGGUGUGUGAGGGUGAGGUGCGUGGAGCACAGUGGGGGGGCGAUGACAGUGGGCCAGUGGGGGGAUCUGUGGGCAAGUCCCUAGUGGCUCAUGGGAAGGCUUUUUGAUGGGAGUGUUGGGGUCCCUUUCUUGCCCGAGAGUUCCAUCUGGGGUUCUCCUAGCUCUUCCUGCCCCCGGAACUCAUGACCCAUACUCUGGAAGGGGCUAGAGGGACACAAGUCACUUUGGCAGCAUCUCACACAGCCCGGGCUCACUCACACAUUCUCAUUUU